rnacentral:rRNA from 1 species
AACGAACGCUGGCGGCGUGCCUAACACAUGCAAGUCGAACGCGAAAGGGGGGCAACCCCCGAGUAGAGUGGCGCACGGGUGAGUAACACGUGGGUAACCCACCCUAGAGAUCGGGACAACCAGGGGAAACUCUGGCUAAUACCGGAUGCGUCCGAGUUGGCCUCGGCCGACUCGGAGAAAGGUGGCCUAUGCUUGCAAGCCAUCGCUCUUGGACGGGCCCGCGGCCCAUUAGCUAGUUGGUGAGGUAACGGCUCACCAAGGCUGUGAUGGGUAGCUGGUCUGAGAGGAUGAUCAGCCACACUGGGACUGGAACACGGCCCAGACUCCUACGGGAGGCAGCAGUGGGGAAUUUUGCGCAAUGGGGGAAACCCUGACGCAGCAACGCCGCGUGGGUGACGAAGGCCCUUGGGUCGUAAAGCCCUGUCGGGUGGGAAGAAGCCCCUGGCGGCGAACAGUCGCUAGGGAUGACGGUACCACUAAAGGAAGCACCGGCUAACUCUGUGCCAGCAGCCGCGGUAAAGUA